GGGCAGGUGGCCGAGUGGUUAAAGGCAGCAGACUGUAAAUCUGCCGGCGCAAGCCUACGAUGGUUCGAAUCCGUCCCUGCCCACCA
rnacentral:tRNA from 1 species